CACGUAGGGCGCAAGCGUUGUCCGGAAUUAUUGGGCGUAAAGAGCUCGUAGGCGGUCUGUUACGUCUGCUGUGAAAACCCAGGGCUUAACCCUGGGCUUGCAGUGGAUACGGGCAGACUAGAGGCAGGUAGGGGAGAAUGGAAUUCCUGGUGUAGCGGUGAAAUGCGCAGAUAUCAGGAGGAACACCGGUGGCGAAGGCGGAUCUCUGGGCCAUUACUGACGCUGAGGAGCGAAAGCGUGGGGAGCGAACAGG
rnacentral:rRNA from 1 species